ACUCCUACGGGAGGCAGCAGUGGGGAAUAUUGCACAAUGGGGGAAAGCCUGAUGCAGCCAUGCCGCGUGUGUGAAGAAGGCCUUCGGGUUGUAAAGCACUUUCAGUCGGGAGGAAAGGUUAGUAGUUAAUACCUGCUAGCUGUGACGUUACUGACAGAAGAAGCACCGGCUAACUCCGUGCCAGCAGCCGCGGUAAUAC
rnacentral:rRNA from 1 species